rnacentral:rRNA from 1 species
GACGUAGGAGGCGAGCGUUGUCCGGAUUCACUGGGCGUAAAGAGCGCGCAGGCGGCUUGGUAAGUCGGAUGUGAAAUCCCGAGGCUCAACCUCGGGUCUGCAUCCGAUACUGCCCGGCUAGAGGUAGGUAGGGGAGAUCGGAAUUCCUGGUGUAGCGGUGAAAUGCGCAGAUAUCGUAAGGAAGACCAGUGGCGAAGGCGGGUCUCUGGACAGUUCCUGACGCUGAGGCACGAAGGCCAGGGGAGCAAACGGG